GAGUAGCUGGUAUUACAGGCGUGUGCCACAAAGCCUGGCUAAGUUUUGUAUUUUUAGUAGAGACGGGGUUUCACCAUGUUGGCCAGGUUGGUCUCGAACUCCUGACCUCAAGUGAUCCACUCACUUUGGCCUUUCAACGUGCUGGGAUUACAGGCGAGAGUCACCGCACCCGGACGACUCUGACAUUUUUGAAGAGUCCAGAAUCCUGUUACACCUGGGAUUUAGGCACUUUCAAUCUGAAAAAAUACAUAUCCUUUCAGCACUCUGGACGGACUUGAGAACUGUCCUUACGUGACCUAAAGCUGGAGUAUUUUGAGAUUGGAGAAUUAAGAGCCAGUCUUGGUGCUCUGUGUUCACCUGGUUCAUCUGAGGAGCUGCAUCUACCCUGCCCAUGCCAUAGAUCCUGCCCUGUUUGCUUCUCCUGUUGCUGCUAGUGGACAUGAGAAGGACAGAAUAACGGGCUCCCAGAUUCACAAGCCCCACCAAGAGGAUCACCCCAGGAACGCUUGGAGGCUGAGGAGUUCACUGAGGCUACUGCAUCUUGAGACUCAGGAUGAAGACCCAGCUUGGGGCUGUCAAAGGUUUUUUGCAUGUCUGACACCCAUGACUCCACCUGGACCUUAUGGCUCCACCCAGAAGCAAUUCAGCCCAACAGGAGGACAGCUUCAACCCAUUACGAUUUCAUCUCUGCCCCAACCACUCAGCAGCAAGCACCUGUUACCUGUCCACCCCCACCCCUUCCCCCAAACUGCCUUUGAAAAAUCCCUAACCUAUGAGCUUUGAAUAAGAUGAGUACGAACUUCAUCGCCCACGUGGCGUGGCCGGCCUCGUGUCUAUUAAAUUCUUUUUCUACUACAA
rnacentral:lncRNA from 1 species